AUAUAUUAGCUAAAUUGAUUUAAAUACAAAACAAUUUUUAAAAUUUAGGAUCUUGAGGGAGAAGGACCCGAGAAUUUUUUUACCACCAAAAAGUGACCCCCUCCCCAGAACUCUGGUACACUCUGGAUCUCGUGCAUGCCUAUUCCUGGAACCCUCCUACAGGAGCGGGACAUGCGACCUUAGAUUGAGAUCCUGGAAUCCAGAGGCAACUGUGCAUUGCCCCAGGUGGUGUUGGGGCUCUGGGGUCCAGCAGGUCUCGAGCCUCCCACCUUCUCCUAGCCUGCCCUCCCACCAGCUAGGGAAACCCCCGUGCCCCCCACCCCACUGCCCCAGGCUUGCUGCACAGCAAGAUGCCUCCAUAUCUCUUUCAGAAUAAACAGGAAUAAGAGUUUCAGUUGAACCCUUGGGGUGAGACAGGCAGGUCAGAAUGAGGAAACUAGAUCUCCUCACCCCCUGAGUUCUUGUUGUUCUAGAACACAACUCUAGCAACUACAGUUCCAACCAUCUAAACCUCUGCCAAAACAACCCCAAUGAUGAGACUGUCAGGAGGAACCUGGGCAGCAGAUGCCUCCUUGCCGUGUAAAGAUGACAUGCAGAUCACGCCCCAAAGCUGUGUGAGAGCUGAACGUGUGAGCACAUGCUGUCCGCGCUCCGGAUGCAACGGAAAUCAUCGGCCAUUGU